AUUGAACGCUGGCGGCAUGCUUUACACAUGCAAGUCGAACGGUAACAGGGUGCUUGCACCGCUGACGAGUGGCGAACGGGUGAGUAAUGCGUCGGAACGUGCCGAGUAGUGGGGGAUAACGCAGCGAAAGUUGUGCUAAUACCGCAUACGUACUGAGGUAGAAAGUGGGGGACCUUCGGGCCUCACGCUAUUCGAGCGGCCGACGUCUGAUUAGCUAGUAGGUGAGGUAAAGGCUCACCUAGGCGACGAUCAGUAGCGGGUCUGAGAGGAUGAUGCGGCACACUGGGACUGCGAAAAGGCCCAGACUCCUACGGGAGGCAGCAGUGGGGAAUUUUGGACAAUGGGCGAAAGCCUGAUCCAGCCAUGCCGCGUGUCUGAAGAAGGCCUUCGGGUUGUAAAGGACUUUUGUCAGGGAGGAAAUCCCUAGUGCUAAUAACACUGGGGGAUGACAGUACCUGAAGAAUAAGCACCGGCUAACUACGUGCCAGCCGCCGCGGUAA
rnacentral:rRNA from 1 species